AUCUCCUAGUCAGCCGUUAGCGACAGGCGAAGAAACGCAAGGCUGCCGCCAUCCGGUCGUGAUCAUAACCGAGGCCUUGUCUGCAGAGUAACACACCAGGCCCAAACCCACCGCCCUCGGCAGCCGCCCCACGCGGGCCCUUCCUCGGCAGACUUCCCAACCUCUACUUGAGCCGCAGAGGAAAGUGAGACCCCCUAGGCUCUCCUGAAGCCAGCUCUGGGCCCCUCCCCAAGGAUGCUUUGGGAAGGAGAUAAGGAGGUGAGAUAGAAUCUGGCAGAGACGGAAGAUGAAAAAAAGACCAACGGAAGAAAAGAAAGCAGGAAGGAGCAAAGGAAAGAAGAAAAAAAGAAAGAAGAGAUAAAAGAGGAAGGGAAGACAGGGAAAAGAAGGAAGAAAAGAGAGGCGACUCCUAGCAGCGGCCGAGCUUACAGAGAGAAGGGUAAGUGACAAGGCCAGGAUCCCAGCCUGCCCUAUCCUUCCUAGUCCAGCCUGAGUCUCCACUGGAAGGAGGUUCUUUCCUGAGCUCACACCCGGGACUGGUGUGUGUGUGUGUGUGUGUGUGUGUGUGUGUGUGUGUGUUCCAGCCUUACAAGAGAAUGGCAGGAGGUCUAAAGCUGGGAUAUCUUACAGAGGAAGGAAAAAUUAACCUUUUUUACUUUCUUUCUCACUUUUUAAAUCAGCCAAAGUCAAGCCCGUUUGCCAACCUGCAUGUCCAUGCCUGUAAGCCCUUCUCUUGGCCAAGGAAGAAAGGAAGAAAGAAAAAAGAAACCCAGGGGCCUGUAUCCCCUGAUUAAACACAGCACAGCACUCCAGGCAGACAUGCCCGGUGGCGGCUCCUUUGCACCAUUGACCUCAGGCCAGACACCUCAGCGCCAACAAUGGGACCUCGGCCUUCCGGCUAGGUUUGCCCCAGGCUGGGCAGGAAACCAGCUCGGCCGAAGACAGGGGCCAUUUCGAGCAGUGGGACCCCAAGACAGCAAACCCAGCCCAGUCAGGACUUGACACUUAGGACAAUAUCUAUCUCUAUAGAAUUUUAGCAUGAUAUGGCUUUUUCCCCCAGAAAACAACAAAUAAACCAGCACCAAGCAAACACAAAGAAACAAAAAGUCAGAACAAACCAGCCCUGCACAGAUGUAACGGCCCAGGAGAUGGCGAGUGUGGGAGGGAGGAACAGGGCUCCAGCACAGGUGCGAGUUCCUGGGCAGAGCCUGAAGACAGAGGGAGGGGACCAGCGCUCGGGAAGUGAAAAAACCGCGUCGCCUGGAGAUUCAUCAGGAAAAAUUAAAGUUGGCUGUGAGCUCCCGGAUCCGGUUUUCUCGAUUCAUUUUCUUCAGUUUCAUCCUGCGGUUCUGAAACCAGAUUUUCACUUGUCUGUCCGUGAGGUGGACGCUGCGGCUAAUCUCUAGGCGCCGCUCUCGAGUAAGGUACAUAUUGAACAGAAACUCCUUCUCCAGCUCCAGUGUCUGGUGCUUCGUGUAGGGGCAGCGCUUCUUCCGACCACUCUUUGCCGUGAGCCAGUUGGCUGCGUUUUCACCUUUGGAAUUGCCUGGCAUGUAAGAGAAUAAAGAGGGGAUGAUUAAGUCGAGGCCACACGGGCUGCCCGCGGGGGUGAAUUGCCUCCGUUUCUCCCAUAAGAGAGAUGUCCCAAGUCACAGAGAAGAGAGUCGUGCCCCCGUUUUUGGCUUGCUGAGAGCAAGCAGUUCCUCCAAAAGUCAUGACAAAAAUUGAGUGGGCCUUCAAUCUACAUGACCCUUCCAAUUUACAUUUCCCCCACUUUUCCAAACACCUGUUUUAGCGCUAAGCCGUAGAUGCUUGCAGAAGGAAAGGCCUGGGAGGGCAGGCUGUACAUCUUGAACUUAACGCUUUUCUUUGCCUCUUGCCAUAUGGCAGACAAGCAUUUCCUGUAGCCCCCAGGCUAGGAGCGCGGGGUGCUUACUUGGAAGAUGGGCCAGGCAGCUUGGCUGUCUCACCCCAGGGCCCUGAUUGCCCAAGACUCGAUAAGGGGAGAAAGAAGGGCAUCAUUGGUCCAAUGGGGAAGGCAGGAAAAACCGAUUCGGGGGUCAAGGGCCCUCCCUCAAGUUUCUCCAGGAGCCAGGGAUAGAUAGCUGGGCGAUUCCGAGGUCCAGGGGAAGGGAAAUGGCCCUUCUCUGGCUCUCAGCUCAGGGCCCCCCGCUUCCAGGCCGGAUUUGCCUUUUCUUCUUCCCGCAACGAAGAUUCCCGCCCCUCAGCAACUUUGAAAAAAGCAUGGGGGAUCGUAAACUCGAACUUCGCCGGUUAAUGGGCUUAUUUAUUGGCGCUGGCGGCUGCUUAUUUUGGAUGCCUUACAAACAUCCGCGCUAUCUGCGGGCGAGCUACUUUCCCUCCCUCCCCCUCCCCCCGCGUGGGCCGCGCCGCGCAGGCUGGGCAGGGACCAGGGCUCUGGGUCCUCCCGGCCACAGGAAAGAGCGCACAGGAGGGGGCCUGCUCGCUGGUGUCCUCGUCCCUAGUCAGGGGGAGCUGAGGCCAGCGCCGAGGACGUCUUGCUGUGGGGCGCUAAGCCGGACAUGAAUUUUACUGCGUCCCCACGCCCAAAUAUUAAAAAGCAAGUUCACAAGGUCAGCCUGCCUGCAGCUUGGGCCAAGGCCGGCCGGCUGCUGCGCGGGCUCCUAGUUUUCUGAUCCUUCUCCUCCUUGUGUCUGCCUGUCUGCCCGCCUGACUGCAGCCCUCUGCAGCCCUGCUUACCCAGGGAAUCCUUCUCCGGCGAGGCUUUGCUGCUCUCGGAAGGGGCCGGGGAGAGCUCCUCCGCGGCCGAGGACGACGCGUGCGCCUCCUCGUCGCCCUGCGAGCCCCCGCCGCUGCCGCAAGCCAGCGUGGGGGGCGGCGGCGAAUCGAGGGCUCGCUCCUUCCGGGCCGCAUCGGCCGAGCCGGAGGCUAGCGCGGGCGGGAGAUCGAAACCGCGCCCCGGGGGCUGCGCGGGGAACGGGCCAGCCCCGAGUUGCUGCGCGCCGCCGCCGCCGCUGCCAUAGCCCUUGGCGGUGCCGUAGGCCUGAGAAAGGCGGAAGUAGCCAGGCACUGGCACCCCGCUGGAGGUGCCCAGGGCGCAGCCGUCGGGCGGCGGGCCCCGCGGGAAGGGAGCCAGUUCGGCGGCGGUGGCCGAGACUUUGGGGCAUUUGUCCGC
rnacentral:lncRNA from 1 species